rnacentral:rRNA from 1 species
UACGUAGGGUGCGAGCGUUGUCCGGAAUUACUGGGCGUAAAGAGCUCGUAGGUGGUUUGUCGCGUUGUCCGUGAAAACUCACAACUCAAUUGUGGGCGUGCGGGUGAUACGGGCAGACUGGAGUACUGCAGGGGAGACUGGAAUUCCUGGUGUAGCGGUGGAAUGCGCGGAUAUCAGGAGGAACACCGGUGGCGAAGGCGGGUCUCUGGGCAGUAACUGACGCUGAGGAGCGAAAGCGUGGGGAGCGAACAGG